rnacentral:rRNA from 1 species
GUGGGGAAUAUUGGACAAUGGGCGCAAGCCUGAUCCAGCAAUGCCGCGUGCAGGAAGAAGGCCUUCGGGUUGUAAACUGCUUUUGUACGGAACGAAAAGGCUCUGGUUAAUACCUGGGGCUCAUGACGGUACCGUAAGAAUAAGCACCGGCUAACUACGUGCCAGCAGCCGCGGUAAUACGUAGGGUGCAAGCGUUAAUCGGAAUUACUGGGCGUAAAGCGUGCGCAGGCGGUUUUGUAAGACAGACGUGAAAUCCCCGGGCUCAACCUGGGAAUGGCGUUUGUGACUGCAAAGCUGGAGUGCGGCAGAGGGGGAUGGAAUUCCGCGUGUAGCAGUGAAAUGCGUAGAUAUGCGGAGGAACACCGAUGGCGAAGGCAAUCCCCUGGGCCUGCACUGACGCUCAUGCACGAAAGCGUGGGGAGCAAACAGGAUUAGAAACCCGAGUAGUCC